rnacentral:lncRNA from 1 species
AGUUACUCUAUUUUAGAAUGAAAUAUAAAGGAAAUUAUAGAGUAUGAUUGGAGAUGGUCUAACACAUGCGAGAAAAUCGUACAUUUUGGUUUUUGUUUUUGUUAAGUGGAAAAGUGAUUGUGUUUCUUGACCUAUAUUUGUGACACAAAGAACCUUAAUACAUUAUUGCUUUCACCCGAAAUAAAAUAAAGUUUAUUGAUUUAACAACAUUUCUUGUUUUAAAAGAGAGUGAAGAAAAAGUAGAGAUGGCCCAAAAAGAUACUAAACGAAGAAAGUUGCAGAAGAAGAGUCACACGCUUCCAAAGUUCUACUAGCCAUCAAAACCGCCUGCAAGUUUCCUCCCAUGUGCUCUCU